rnacentral:rRNA from 1 species
UACGAACUGUGCAAACGUUAUUCGGAAUCACUGGGCUUAAAGGGUGCGUAGGCGGUCAUUUAAGUAGGGUGUGAAAGCCCCCGGCUCAACCGGGGAAUUGCGUCCUAAACUGGAUGACUUGAGUGAGAUAGAGGUGUGUGGGACUUCCGGUGGAGCGGUGAAAUGUGUUGAUAUCGGAAGGAACGCCGGUGGCGAAAGCGACACACUGGGUCUUAACUGACGCUGAGGCACGAAAGCCAGGGGAGCGAACGGG